GGUGAACGCUAGCUACAGGCUUAACACAUGCAAGUCGAGGGGAAACGAUAGAGAAGGCUUGCUUUUUCUAGGCGUCGACCGGCGCACGGGUGAGUAACGCGUAUCCAACCUGCCCACCACUUGGGAAUAACCUUGCGAAAGUAAGACUAAUACCCAAUGAUAUCUCUAGAAGACAUCUGAAGGAGAUUAAAGAUUUAUCGGUGAUGGAUGGGGAUGCGUCUGAUUAGCUUGUUGGCGGGGUAACGGCCCACCAAGGCGACGAUCAGUAGGGGUUCUGAGAGGAAGGUCCCCCACAUUGGAACUGAGACACGGUCCAAACUCCUACGGGAGGCAGCAGUGAGGAAUAUUGGUCAAUGGGCGAGAGCCUGAACCAGCCAAGUAGCGUGCAGGAUGACGGCCCUAUGGGUUGUAAACUGCUUUUAUAAGGGAAUAAAGUGAGCCUCGUGAGGCUUUUUGCAUGUACCUUAUGAAUAAGGACCGGCUAAUUCCGUGCCAGCAGCCGCGGUAA
rnacentral:rRNA from 1 species